rnacentral:rRNA from 1 species
GACGAACGCUGGCGGCGUGCUUAACACAUGCAAGUCGAACGGUAAGGCCCCUCGGGGUACACGAGUGGCGAACGGGUGAGUAACACGUGGGUGAUCUGCCCUGCACUUCGGGAUAAGCCUGGGAAACUGGGUCUAAUACCGGAUAGGACCCUGGGAUGCAUGUCCUGGGGUGGAAAGCUUUUGCGGUGUGGGAUGGGCCCGCGGCCUAUCAGCUGGUUGGUGGGGUGAUGGCCUACCAAGGCGACGACGGGUAGCCGGCCUGAGAGGGUGACCGGCCACACUGGGACUGAGGUACGGCCCAGACUCCUACGGGAGGCAGCAGUGGGGAAUAUUGCACAAUGGGCGCAAGCCUGAUGCAGCGACGCCGCGUGAGGGAUGACGGCCUUCGGGUUGUAAACCUCUUUCAGCACCGACGAAGCGCAAGUGACGGUAGGUGCAGAAGAAGGACCGGCCAACUACGUGCCAGCCGCCGCAGUAA